rnacentral:lncRNA from 1 species
ACUAAGCCGCUCGUGCCAAAAUUGUGGGUUGACGAAAAACUACAGAAAGUGGAGUAUGAGGGAUUACCUCUCAUUUAUUUUGAAUGUGGGUGCUACGACCACCUUCGAAAAAGUUAUUUGAACAAGACCUGCAACAAAUUAAGGCCGGAUGGUGAGGACAUACAUGCAACAGAGAAUCAAGCUCCAUCGCCGACGACACUAGAAGAAAAGUUUGACCCCUAGAUGCAAGUGGUUUGCUGGGAAAGGAAGCCUAACAGAAAAAGAAAUAGCUUGAUUCCUAAGGAAACUACUUUUAACCAAGGAAAGGCAAUCACAAGAUCUCGUUUUAACGUAAUUGCUGAUUCUAGGGCAGGGGAUAUGGGAAACAACGGUCAAAUCCUUGAGCUGUCUGAUUUAGAUUCUAUGAAUUUAGGGAGGAUUUCGGGUCACUAAAGACGGAAUAAUAAAGCUAUUGAGAGGGCAAAUCAGCUUAAUACCCAUGAGGACCAAAUAAGGCACACUGGGCCUGCUUGUAAUAUUGGAUCUAUUGGGAUAGUCCAAAAUAAAGGCUUUAUUUCGAAUAAUGCCCAAGGCUCGAUUGAUGACUCUAAAAAGAAAGGUCUAAACGCCUUGACUAGCUAAACCCAAGUUUAUAAAAACACCCC